UCCCGUACGUACGGGAUGAAGUAAGCCAGACUGCGGCGUCUGUACUGAUGAACAAGAACUGCAUACAGAGGCUAUUAGGUCGGAUGAGGUGACACAGCACACCAAAGUCCAAACCUUCCGCUAGGGAGGAAGUACCGAAAUAGUAGAUAUGGCAGAGGACAAAUCGAGAGAUUUGGGU
rfam:Indibacter alkaliphilus LW1 Indibacter_contig_13, whole genome shotgun sequence.